rnacentral:rRNA from 1 species
GACAGAGGUUGCAAACGUUGUUCGGAUUUACUGGGCGUAAAGGGCGCGUAGGCGGCGCGAGAAGUCGAGUGUGAAAGCCCCGGGCUCAACCUGGGAAUUGCGCUCGAUACUCUUGUGCUUGAGUUCGGGAGAGGAGCGUGGAAUUCCCAGUGUAGAGGUGAAAUUCGUAGAUAUCGAGAGGAACACCGGUGGCGAAGGCGGCGAUCUGGACAGUUCCUGACGCUGAGGCACGAAGGCCAGGGGAGCAAACGGG